rnacentral:rRNA from 1 species
UACGGGGGGAGCAAACGUUGUUCGGAAUCACUGGGCGUAAAGGGCGUGUAGGCGGCUGAAUGAGUGGGAUGUUAAAUCCCCCGGCUUAACCUGGGAACUGCGUCUGAUACUGGAAGGCUUGAGUAUGGGAGAGGGAUGUAGAAUUCCAGGUGUAGCGGUGAAAUGCGUAGAUAUCUGGAGGAACACCGGUGGCGAAGGCGGCAUCCUGGACCGGUAUUGACGCUGAGGCGCGAAAGCCAGGGGAGCAAACGGG